UUAAAGUUGAGAUAAAAUGACAGAAAUCGUAGUUCCAGGAGCAGAGCUUCCGGAGGCAGUAAUAACAAUAUAAAUAAGCAAGAAGGUAAAAUUAUAUUGAGCUUUGAACAUAGUAUAGUAUAUGUUUGUCAGAAAAUUCGUGUCCCUUACAAUGAUUGUAGAACUCACUAUUUAUAGUUGCACCUAGGGAACAAGGUACUAGGAUCAAGCCCUACUUUAAUGACAAUUAUGAAGGCCAUUGAAGAAUGUGUAACGGUAGGCAGUGAAUGUCAUAUUCUCUGUAACGGAUCAUAUACUUAAUGCUUUAAAAUAUUCUCCACUAAAUGUAACUGGGGUGGCAUGCAUUUAUUUCUCCUUUAUGAAUGUCAUUCUCUCCGAUAACAAACGAGAUCGUUGCAUUCGGACCCGACUGUCUUCUGUCUUCAGCUCCACAUAUCACUUUCUCAUGCGAUCAUUUAAUAUGGACAUACUUUACCCUGUACAUUUUUAACGUGAGUAUUAGAUACCGAGUGAGAAAUAAAAAUAAGUUUGUUCUAUUUAAAAUGAAUGAAAGAAUAGAAUCCAGCAAGAAAUAAUUAAUGAAACAGAAUUCAAUAAGAAAUAAAGGAAAAAUAAAGGAAAGGAAAUACAAAUAACAUACAUAGUCAUACAUAUGAUAAGAUCAUCACAAAAUAUUAAUAUGGUAACACCUUAACACACAUUUAUUUAUUCAGAAUAAAGAUAGUAACUUUAAUUUUACAAGUGACACAAAGCUUAGAAGGAGCAAGUAACAACAACAACAUACACAAUUUAUUUUUACAAGUGAAGCCUGGGGAGGGUAGUGUAUACACAGACUUUAUUCCUAUCUUGUGCAGAUAGAAAGACUAUUUUCGAUAGACCAUCGGCUCUUAGAAGGUGCAAGUAACAACAACAAUAACAAGAAAAACAUACCCAGUGUUUUUCUACAAAUGGGGUCUGAGAAGGGUAGUGUGUACGCAGACCUUAAUCCUGCCUUGUAUCGAUAGAAAGAUUAUUUCCGAUAGAAACUCAGCUCUCAGAAGGAUCAAGUAGGCAAAAAAGGAACAUAGAAAAUAUCAUAUGAGAUUGAUUCAAAUUGGGUUAAUUUGGAGCCAUGCAACUCUUAGACGACCUCCAACGCAUACUCUUUCGACAUUGUGAACACAUUUUCUGUACAUUGCAUUCUGCACUAGAUUUGCAAGGGGAGAAACAUCUGCCUUUUAAUGAGGUAAGAUCUGGGAUUAGAAACUGCUCAAUCAUCUGUAUCUCUAAAGGUAGGACUCGCAUAGCCAUCACUUGAAUGUUUGAAUGAACUGCAUAACAUGUAAAAAUCAAAUUGUUAAUUGUCCAUCCAACUGCUUAAACUAAAAAUAGUCGACGAAAUGUAUAUAUAUAAUCCAUAUGUAUACAUCUGUACAGGGGCGUACGCAGGAAUUUUUAUAAGCGGUAUCGAAAUUUAUAUAAGAACGAGAAUAAUAACUUUAAUUAUUGCACAAGAAAUAGCCUUAUUCUAUUGAUUUUGUUGAGUCUUUAGUUAGAAAAGGUCCUGAGUUCAAUUCUAAUUCAAUCACAAUUUUUAACCAUAAGGGCUCUCUUAAAUAUUUGCAAAAAAAAAAAUGUGUUAGUUGAGGUUCGAACCUUUGACAUCUAAAAGCAAAAUCAAGCACAUAACUGACGUACCAAGAAAUAAUUUAUGUCAAGUGGUGUCAUUUUUUCCUUCUUUAUCUGUGUCCUUACGAUAUUAAUAUAUAUAGUAAAAAAAAAAAAUCGAUGAAGCAGUGUCGCGUGCCACCACUUCAUUAAACGUGCAUCCACCCAUGCAUCCAUGUAUAAUCAGUGUAUAAUUUAUGUAUAUCGGCUAACGAAAAGUAAAUAAUGAAUUCGACUGACUAUUUUUGUAAAGAUUAUAUAUUUUUUAACAAAGAAACUAAUGGAUGAUCAAGUAACCUACCAGCCAAUACUACAAGGAGAAGGCCAAAAGAGAAAGCAAGCUUGUGAGAUAGGCACAUCUUAGCCAUGUUAACACACUUUCAACUAUCUUAUGAUUAUGGUAAGAAGAAUAAGAGGAGGAGGAGCUAAUUGUGUGAGUGCAUUUUCUUGCUUGAUGAAAGACCCUAUAUAUAGGCUUUUAAAAUUUUU
rnacentral:lncRNA from 1 species